rnacentral:rRNA from 1 species
CUACGGGAGGCUGCAGUGGGGGAUAUUGCACAAUGGACGAAAGUCUGAUGCAGCAACGCCGCGUGGAGGAUGACACAUUUCGGUGCGUAAACUCCUUUUAUAUAGGAAGAUAAUGACGGUACUAUAUGAAUAAGCGCCGGCUAACUCCGUGCCAGCAGCCGCGGUAAUACGGAGGGCGCAAGCGUUACUCGGAAUCACUGGGCGUAAAGAGCGUGUAGGCGGAUAGAUAAGUCAGGAGUGAAAUCCUAUGGCUCAACCAUAGAACUGCUCUUGAAACUGUCUAUCUAGAAUAUGGGAGAGGUAGAUGGAAUUUCUGGUGUAGGGGUAAAAUCCGUAGAGAUCAGAAGGAAUACCGAUUGCGAAGGCGAUCUACUGGAACAUUAUUGACGCUGAGACGCGAAAGCGUGGGGAGCAAACAGGAUUAGAUACCCGAGUAGUC